rnacentral:rRNA from 1 species
GAUGAACGCUGGCGGCGUGCCUAAUACAUGCAAGUCGAGCGAACAGACGAGAGUGCUUGCACUCUCUGACGUUAGCGGCGGACGGGUGAGUAACACGUGGGUAACCUACCUAUAAGACUGGGAUAACUUCGGGAAACCGGAGCUAAUACCGGAUAAUAUUUAGCUUCGCAUGAAGCAAUAGUGAAAGACGGUUCAGCUGUCACUUAUAGAUGGACCCGCGGUGUAUUAGCUAGUUGGUGAGGUAACGGCUCACCAAGGCAACGAUACAUAGCCGACCUGAGAGGGUGAUCGGCCACACUGGGACUGAGACACGGCCCAGACUCCUACGGGAGGCAGCAGUAGGGAAUCUUCCGCAAUGGACGAAAGUCUGACGGAGCAAUGCCGCGUGAGUGAAGAAGGUUUUCGGAUCGUAAAACUCUGUUGUAAGGGAAGAACAAGUACGUUAGUAACUGAACGUACCUUGACGGUACCUUACCAGAAAGCCACGGCUAACUACGUG